UGAAACUGUGCAGUAGCCUCUUCCGUUUGCCACGCCUGUUUACAAUUGAACUAUUUCCUUUGCCGAGGUAUCUUUGUUACAAGAAGGGAUGUGGUGAAACAAAUGUUACCGUAAGGAUGCGCCCAUUGCAACACGUUUAGUUGGAAUACAUUCAUCGAACAGACGCGUGCGCUAAAUAAAUAAGAGGUCGCUUGGACACAUGACACAUCUCUGGGCCUCUACCCAUAACCAUGGCACUGGGAGUUGACAGGGCCUUCCCAGCAUCCAUCUCUCCGAUGGAGUCCAAGGGCUGCAGUGGGCAAUGGAAGACCCGGAUUCCAGAGAUUAUCCGGGCGGGGUCAACCACAACGCAGCAUGACAAAGACUGGGAGAGGGGGACAGGGGAUAGGGACCGGGGUGGUCCCAGAAAGAGUGUUACCAUGGCACCCACCUCCAGGUAUAUGAGUGACAGGAGGCAGUACUCAAUGAGGAAACCGCUGGUCACCACCACAGAGCAGCAGACCUCCAUCCUAAAAAAAUCCUACCUACAGGAGCACCCAGAAAAGGAGCGACAGGGGGAAGGUAGCAGUAAUGAAGCACACCAUCCUAGCGAGUUUGACUUCCAGACCCGAUGGGCUGAACAGAAGUUCCCAGACAACUUCAACCCCUCUCAUGCCAACAUCUCAACCUGCUCAGUCUCCAGAGAGGACUUUAGCACCUCCCUAGGGGUGUCAGACCUCAGGACCGGUCUGUCACAUGAAGAACCCACCUUCAGCUCAUCGUAUCUUGGCAGCAGGCCUGGCCGACGCAGCCUCUCCAGCCCACCCCUGGAGGUCCGUACUUUCUCUACUCCACUCAACUCCAAGUGGACUUCCACUCUGCUAUCCCCCCUCUCGCCCUCCUACACCCCCCUGGCACGCCCGUCCAGACAGAGAUGGACAGAGCUGAAAUUGGAUGCAGGUGAAGUUUGUCAAUCACAUGGAGGAGCAAGGGAAAUUAAUCUAAAUGUAGGCCCUUCAGUGGGCUACUCCAAGGGCCACUCCAACCCUGUGCUCCACACCAUGUCCCCCCACCAGGCCAACUACUGGGCCUGCGCCAUUCCCAGCUCCCUGCCCCCCUCCCCAGACCGACGCUCUUCGAGCUGGAACCCUGAUAAGGAGUACCAAGCCCUCCUGGACUACACCUACCCUCUGAGGCCAGGUAGGGUGGUCGGUGGGUGGGAUACCUCCGACGCAGGGGGUGGAGCACUCAUCCAGACAGACCCAAACCUCCAGGACUCAGGAAUAGACCUGGACCGCCUCUGCAGCUCCACCAGCCUGUCAGCUUUGGACUUUUCCCUGACUGGCACGGCAGGGGUGGGGACGGCAAGGGAGAGGCGGAUGCCGGGUAUAGGUCAGAGGUCAUCUGAGCUGCAUGGGCUCUCACACCCAAAGUCCUCAGAUGGUCGCCUCUCCAAUAGCCCCUUAUCCUCUGCGGACCCUAUUGGUCUAUCCGUGGAGAGUCUGGACUGUAGUGGAGGUGGUGGUCUGGAUCCUUUGCAUCGUAUCGAGGAAGGUCGCUACUGUCAUCACGGCAUCUCCUCUUCCACCACGUUCAUCCGCACAACGAGCAUCCUUCCCCAGCCAGGGUGCCUCAGAGGGGGGGCUUGGGAUGAGGAGUUCUGGUCUCUCCCGGAGCAAUUGGAGGAGCUCCGGGGUUUGUCCCGGCAGGUCAGGGAGGUGACGGCCCAACUCAGUCAGCCUGUCACAGCCAGCUGGGAGUCCCUGGAGAGGGGGACCACCUCCGUCCAGUCCUCCAUGAACCUGGCUGAGAAACAGGAGGCAGAGGAGGAGAGAAAAGAACUGGAGCAGAAUGAAAAGGAAGAAAGGGAGGGUGAUGAGAAGCAGAAAGAGGUGUCCAUUUCUGAAGCGCUUCAAUACUUUAAUAAAGUCUCUAAAGUGGUCCAUAGUGGGGAAUCCUCCCAGGCAGCCAGAAACUCUGGUUCUAGGAUGGAGGGUGGGGUAGCAGGCAGGGGAGUGAGCAGGGCCAGUCUCAGAGAGGUGGAGGCCAUGGUGGACCAGCUGAGUGGACUAACCCUGCCUAAGUUCCAGAGGGGGAGCCAGGGGGAGCAGAGGCCCAGGGAGUCCCUCAUGCAGCACAUCCAGACCUUCUGUUCUAACCUGGAGGAGCUCAUCCAAUGGCUGUACACUGUGGUGGAGAGGAUGGAGGUGCUGGCUCCGCCCUCUGUGGACAUCGAGAGUGUCAAGUCGUCCCUGGCGGAUUAUAAGAGGUUUCAGAGAGAAGUAAAUGCCCACCAGCCUCUGACCACCUCUGUUCUGCAGACUGGAGAGCUUCUCUUGGGUUGUAUGACCUCCACUUCUCCCGGUGAGCUUUCCAUCACUGACUAGUUUCUCUUUGCCUGCAGCUAUUUCCUUGGUACCUACUGUAUCUCAGGUGUCACCUACCCUGACUAUUAGGACCGACAAAUGAGGCUUCCUUCACACAGCAAUGACCCCGAUCUCAACUCAAGAGGAUCAGCCUGUCAGACCAGACUCCUUCGUAGUAAAGUUCUGAAAGAGACCCUUGGUCUUAUUGAGAGGCAGUCCAGGGCGUUGGAGACUCACUCAGAGCACCUCUUCUCCUCUAUCCUCUCGGCCAUGGACAGCCUAACCCAGCCCAGGGAGCCCUGCGGGGCAGAGGAGACCGGCGCUGGGGACACCGAUAGCGUGGAGAUCCAGGGGACAGCUUAGUGAAGGCUCCAUGCAAGAUAUGGAUAGUAUGUUUCUGUGGUUACAUAGAGAUCGGGCUAUGACUACUAUACAUCACCGUCUCGUCUCGGGCUAUCAGUUGUAUUAUUUAUCAUAAGUAAUUAUCCUUUUCAGUGAAGAAGAAUGAGAGCAGAUUGGUGGAGGAGGCUUGAUGAGGUGCAGGAGCUUCUUCACUAACAUUCCUUAAAGGAAAUGACCUCGUGUUGAAAAGAGAACCACUUGACUGUUGUUUCAUUAUUGUCUUAAGUGCUUUUUAAAUGUAUGCAUAAUGUCUGCUGAAGAAGCAAAGUAUUAUUUACCUUGUGAUAUAUGCUCAAGCAGAUGUUUAAUCAUUUAUUUGAGUUACACAGUUAUUAAUAAUGACCAAUUGCACUCCUCUUGCAACUCUGUUACAUGCAUGACAUUAUUUUUUAACCUAUUUUGAUAUCCCUCUGUGGCGUCUAAGUGUCUUCACUAAAGGUGCUGUGAAUUUCGUACACUGGGUAGAGCACUGCAAUAUUUUCCAGUACGUUUUUUUUUUUCCAGGGUGAACUCAACCAGUUGAUUAUGGCCUCGGAUUGUAUCAUCACCUGUCUCUGGUACAUAAUGUUGAGCCUUCUUCCUGGAUUGACAGAAGGGAAGGUCUGCAUUUGUGCCGUGUUGAUGUUGUAUAUGUAGAUUGGUAAUAUAGGAUGGUGAACCAUUGUGCCCUUACAGUUGUAUUUGAAAUCAUAUCAUUGAUCAGAUGGCAGCUAUAUGCAAGAUAUGGCCACUGUGAUAAUCACCAGCCAGAGACAACAGCACAGUUUGGAGGUCCCAUGUUUUUAUGAGUUUGAUACUUUUCACAUGCAUGGAAAACCUGAAUGAAAAGUGCCUAAAUUCAAUCAUAUCAAGCAUUCACGGGCAAUAGUCGGCACCCGCGUACCUGAUGUUUUGGCGGCGUCAAAUUGGUGAGCAGCUGCUCUUGAUUGUCACAAAGCCACACCCCUCACGUUAAGAUGUUCAGAAUGAGAAAGUAGGUUAUAUGGAAAUAAUUAUGCUCAAAUUGAAAAUCAUUCAACUAAAUAAUGCAGAUUUAAUUUCAAAUUCCAGUGUUCUAAAAUGUAAACAAGGCUGCAUGGGAUUUCUCUUAAUGAGACUCGGUGCAGCCAAUGGCAAUGUCCGCUUUAGGUAUAACGCCAGGAGCCGCUUGUGGAUUUGACAGCUCUAACGCAGUUCCACCUUCACUGCCAAAACGACCACUUUACGGAUGUCGGCUAAAGCGGAUCUGAUUGAAUAGAGCGCUCAGACAUAACUACAGCCUUUUUUAAUGUGCAGGAUGUUUUUAACUGUCUUUGUUACUGUAGUAAUCAAUUGGGAAUGUUAACUUUUAAACACCAUGGAAAACUUUGUUCAUCAGACUGUUAUCCUCAUUCACAAAAUGAACCUGGUGAAAACUACACAUUGUUCCUUCUGAUUAAACAAACCUUUUAUCUGG